GCUGGUCGGAGGCAAGGAGGGAAGAGGAGGGGAGGAGGAGGGCAGACAUUGAAUCAAAGAUGAUGCAGACGACCUUGAUGCUGGGGAGAGGUCUGGAACCCCGGGGGACCCUGGCGAGAUGCAGGUGGGGCUUGGGGAGCACCGGCGGGCAAAUACUCCAGGUGAGCACACACGGGAGGGAGGGAGGGAGGGAGGGAGGCAAGGAAACCUUGACUCACACUGCUUUUCUCAAAUGCAGACUUCCAUAACACAUUCUCUGUCUUCUCAAGUGCACAGAGGCUUCAGGCCAUCUUCCUGCCCUAGGAAAGGCAUCUGCGUCUCACUGGACAGAGACAUGCGCUGCCCCAAAAUGCCCACUGGGCACACUCACACACCCAGCCUGCAGCACCGGCAGGCGCAAAGGAAGCCCUGAACAUAUAUAUCUGCAGUACCCCAGGGGCAAACAUCUGAAAUUCUCACCACCACCACCCCCCCCCCCCCCCCACCACCAAAACGCUGAAAAUGUUGAAGAUCUCCCAAAGAGACAAGUUUGCCAGCCUCUGGCACGAGCCUCCUGACCCUCUACCUCCACUUGCAAAGUUCGAACCUGUAACCUUUUAUCUACUGCGACUAAAGUUUUCCGGGCACUUUC